rnacentral:rRNA from 1 species
UACGUAGGGGGCAAGCGUUGUCCGGAAUCAUUGGGCGUAAAGAGCGUGUAGGCGGCUCGAUCAGUCCGCUGUGAAAGUCCAGGGCUCAACCCUGGAAGGCCGGUGGAAACUGUCGGGCUAGAGUCCGGAAGAGGCGAGUGGAAUUCCCGGUGUAGCGGUGAAAUGCGCAGAUAUCGGGAGGAACACCAAUGGCGAAGGCAGCUCGCUGGGACGGUACUGACGCUGAGACGCGAAAGCGUGGAGAGCAAACAGG